UGUGGUGGGAACAUUCAGUCGGGGUGUCGUGUCGCAAGCUGGGCAUGCUUUAUGGUUCCCGUGACGGGGCCGGCUCGGCUAGCGUUGCGCGGCAAACUGACGCAUUUGUUUCCCAUCCGAAGGACGCCGCAACCGGUUGGUGGACGGUCUUAAGGGCGAGAACUGGAAGGUGGCCGGCGGCGCGCCUCGUGCGUGUCGCCGGUUGUUAGCCAUCUCGCAGGACGGCCCGUUCGCCGACCGUGGCAAUAAAGAGGCCCGGCUGGGCUUCGUCGUCUCCUCCUUGCGUUGCGAGUGGACAAGCGUCGCAGGAGUUCGUGAGCGGUGUGAUCGCACGAAGCGAGUUCGUGGCCACACGCCGCCGCGUCUCUGUUGGCUGAUGCAUGACUCGCGGGAGUGAUUGACGGUUUGCGGCGAGUAGAUCGGUCACCCACCCGACCCGUCUUGAAACACGGACCAAGGAGUCU
rnacentral:rRNA from 1 species